ensembl:lncRNA
CGGGCCGGCUUGAUGACUUUUUAUUUCCAGCAUACAAAUGUUUGAUUUAAAUUGAUCUCAAAGUUGCUUAACAGGGUAAGAUCUCCAAACAGGUACUGGAGAUUGAACCCAGGACUUUUGGACUGAGGUACAUUCCCCAGCCCUUUUUGUUAUUACAGUAUUUAUUUAUUCACUUGCUCAUUUAUUUAUGUGGUGUUGGGGAUUGAACUCAGGGUCUCACACAUACUAGGUAAGUGCUCUACCACAGAACUGCAUCCAUUUUUAUUUUGAGAAAGAAUCUUGCUAAAUUGCCCAGGCUGGGCUGGAACUCAUCCGAUCCUCCUCUCAAUCUCCCAGAAUGCUGGUAUUACAGGCAUACACUACCACAUCUAGCUGAGCAGUCAUACAACUCUUUUCCCAAAACAAAAUAAAAAAUACCGUGUUUUAGAAACCAUUGCUGUUGGGGUAUGAUAAUCUGCUUAAUUUGUAAUACUAGAGGUUGAAGCCAGGGCUCCAUGCAUGUUAGGGAAGUACGUACUCUGCUCAGAAGUAUAUCCCUAGCCUUUUUAAAUUUUGAGACAGUGACUCACUAAAUUUCCCAAAAUAGUCUUGAACUUGGAAUUUUCCUGCCUCAACCUGAGUAGCUGGGAUUACAGACAUUGGCCACUGUUCUUGGCUUAUAUUUGUAUUUUUUAAUUCAGCUUUUCUUCACAUGCUAUCACUAAAGACAGCAUUUGUCAUGGGGGGGGGUACGUGGGAUCGCACUUGAGACCUUGCACUUGUGCGGCAGGCAUGGCACCACUGAGCUAAAUCCCUGGCCCCUUUUUUUGGUUGAUAGUGUUGCCAGAUAGUCCAGGCUGGCCUCAAAUCUCAUUGCCUAAACUUCCUGAGUGCUGGGAUUACAGGUAGGUGCCACCUUGCCCAGCUUGUUCUAGUUAUUGUGCUAUUUCAACUAGACAGACGCUGAAUCAACCUGAAAUGUUUAUCUAACACUCCCAACAGGGACUGUUAUAUUUUGAAAAAUAUAUUUGACCCAGUUGUGUUUGUGCUUUAUAAACAUUUUUUCCUGCUCCCCCUCAGUCUUAGACCUUGAACACCCCCACCACUACCACCACCACCUCCACAACCACGCAUGGUAUUGAGGAUUGAAUCCAGUGACUCACAGAUGCUAGGCAAGCAUUCUGCCACUGAUGUGCAUACAUUCCCAGACCCUUUUAAAUGUGAGAUAAGGUCUAAAUUGCUCAAGCUAGACUAAGGUUUUGAUGCUACCUCGCCCUCUGGAGUAGCUGAGAAUAUAAGCAUACACCAUGGCAUCUUGUGAGAAAUUAUAAUUUUAAGGAUUAUAAAAGUAUUUCUUAAUACUUCAUUUUAAACUAAUUUUGUCUCUGGCAGUGGGAUCAGAAUACAGGCAUUAAUUUGUGUAUAUGUGUGGUGCUGGGGAUUGAACCCACAGCCUUUGCACUGAGCUACAUCCCCAGCCCUUUUAUUUAUUUUGAGACACAGUCUUGCAAAGUUGCUGAGUUGCCCAGGUUAGCACAAACAUGCAGUCCUCCUGCCUCAGCCUCCCAGAGUGCUGCAAUUACAAGAAUGCACUGCCACGCCUGGCAUAACGGCAGUGAUUAUUUGUAAUACAAUAAUUUGUCUUAUAUUUCAGCUGGGCCUGGUGGCAAGGACUGUGAUCUUAGUACUCAAAGCUGAGGCAGGAGGAUCACCAUAAGUUUGAGGCCAGCUUGGGCCACAUAGUUCAAGAACAGCUUGAACUACAUCAUGAGACCCUGUCUCAAAAAAACAAAAACAAAAAAAGUCUUAGCCCAGUGUAGUGGUGCACACAUGUAAUUCCAGCACAUGGGAUGCUGAGGCAGUAGGACUGAGUCCAAGCCAGCCUAGCCUAGUCAGUGAGUUCAAGGCUAGCCUAGACUAUAUAGCAAAACCCUGUCUCAAAAGUAACAAAACCCCAAAUAAUAAAGUCUUGAAAUUAAUUAAUUUUAUUUGAAAAAGAAAUUAACCCGGUGGUGCAAAAUUAAGUCCUAGGUUCCAAAUAAAAUUUCCAACAAGUUCAUUAUCUUUUAGCAGCUAUAAAAUAUUGGCUGCUAUACAAAAAUUAUUGGGCAUUACUUGCAGGGAAAAAGAAAACAAGCAGCUGCAUUGGUCAUAUUUAACUUUCUUUGCCCUUAAGCUAUCCUCUGUUAUUUUGAACAGUGAUAGGUAUACCACUG